CAGUAGCCGCGGUAAUACGAAGGGGGCUAGCGUUGCUCGGAAUGACUGGGCGUAAAGGGCGCGCAGGCGGCUUUGUUUGUCAGAUGUGAAAGCCCCGGGCUUAACCUGGGAACUGCAUUUGGGACGGCGGAGCUAGAGAUCGGGAGAGGAGAGUGGAAUUCCCAGUGUAGAGGUGAAAUUCGUAGAUAUUGGGAAGAACACCGGUGGCGAAGGCGGCUCACUGGUCCAUUACUGACGCUGAGGUGCGAAAGCGUGGGGAGCAAACAGGAUUAGAUACCCCUGUAGUCCCUGUCUCUUAUAC
rnacentral:rRNA from 1 species